AAGUAGAACGCUGAAGAGAGGAGCUUGCUCUUCUUGGAUGAGUUGCGAACGGGUGAGUAACGCGUAGGUAACCUGCCUUGUAGCGGGGGAUAACUAUUGGAAACGAUAGCUAAUACCGCAUAACAAUGGAUGACACAUGUCAUUUAUUUGAAAGGGGCAAUUGCUCCACUACAAGAUGGACCUGCGUUGUAUUAGCUAGUAGGUGAGGUAAUGGCUCACCUAGGCGACGAUACAUAGCCGACCUGAGAGGGUGAUCGGCCACACUGGGACUGAGACACGGCCCAGACUCCUACGGGAGGCAGCAGUAGGGAAUCUUCGGCAAUGGGGGCAACCCUGACCGAGCAACGCCGCGUGAGUGAAGAAGGUUUUCGGAUCGUAAAGCUCUGUUGUAAGUCAAGAACGGGUGUGAGAGUGGAAAGUUCACACUGUGACGGUAGCUUACCAGAAAGGGACGGCUAACUACGUGCCAGCAGCCGCGGUAAUACGUAGGUCCCGAGCGUUGUCCGGAUUUAUUGGGCGUAAAGCGAGCGCAGGCGGUUUGAUAAGUCUGAAGUUAAAGGCUGUGGCUCAACCAUAGUUCGCUUUGGAAACUGUCAAACUUGAGUGCAGAAGGGGAGAGUGGAAUUCCAUGUGUAGCGGUGAAAUGCGUAGAUAUAUGGAGGAACACCGGUGGCGAAAGCGGCUCUCUGGUCUGUAACUGACGCUGAGGCUCGAAAGCGUGGGGAGCGAACAGGAUUAGAUACCCUGGUAGUCCACGCCGUAAACGAUGAGUGCUAGGUGUUGGAUCCUUUCCGGGAUUCAGUGCCGCAGCUAACGCAUUAAGCACUCCGCCUGGGGAGUACGACCGCAAGGUUGAAACUCAAAGGAAUUGACGGGGGCCCGCACAAGCGGUGGAGCAUGUGGUUUAAUUCGAAGCAACGCGAAGAACCUUACCAGGUCUUGACAUCCCGAUGCUAUUUCUAGAGAUAGAAAGUUACUUCGGUACAUCGGUGACAGGUGGUGCAUGGUUGUCGUCAGCUCGUGUCGUGAGAUGUUGGGUUAAGUCCCGCAACGAGCGCAACCCCUAUUGUUAGUUGCCAUCAUUCAGUUGGGCACUCUAGCGAGACUGCCGGUAAUAAACCGGAGGAAGGUGGGGAUGACGUCAAAUCAUCAUGCCCCUUAUGACCUGGGCUACACACGUGCUACAAUGGUUGGUACAACGAGUUGCGAGUCGGUGACGGCGAGCUAAUCUCUUAAAGCCAAUCUCAGUUCGGAUUGUAGGCUGCAACUCGCCUACAUGAAGUCGGAAUCGCUAGUAAUCGCGGAUCAGCACGCCGCGGUGAAUACGUUCCCGGGCCUUGUACACACCGCCCGUCACACCACGAGAGUUUGUAACACCCGAAGUCGGUGAGGUAACCUUUUGGA
rnacentral:rRNA from 1 species